rnacentral:rRNA from 1 species
UACGUAGGGUGCGAGCGUUAAUCGGAAUUACUGGGCGUAAAGCGUGCGCAGGCGGUUCGUUGUGUCGGUGGUGAAAGCCCCGGGCUUAACCUGGGAAUGGCCAUGGAAACUGGCGAACUGGAGUGUGGCAGAGGGGGGUGGAAUUCCGCGUGUAGCAGUGAAAUGCGUAGAGAUGCGGAGGAACACCGAUGGCGAAGGCGGGUCUCUGGACAGUUCCUGACACUGAGGCACGAAGGCCAGGGGAGCAAACGGG